rnacentral:lncRNA from 12 species
ACAGGCAUGAAAUCUGCACACUCAGUUAUCUGGGUGUGUGCUUAUGGUAUGCUGAGAAAAUAAGAAUUGGCAUCCGAAACUUGUUCUAAUCCUUUUUUUUUCUCCCUCAAGAGAAAAUAUUUUAAAGAUGUAAGAGUUAAAGAAAACAUCUGGUUUAUGGGAAAAUUAUAAGAACAUGCUCUUCCCUCCCCCACUUCCUACUACUCCCCCAGUGGAGCAUUAGCAGAUUCUCAGACCUUAGCAACAAAAUCAAUAACAACAGGCUAACAUAAUUACGCUGUAGAGGGCAGAUUGUGUCGGCUCUUACUUUAUUAAGAAAGAACAACAUGUGUGAAAGAACAGCAUCCUGCAAGGACGGAAGACUCGAGAGAAUGCAGGAAAGAGGGCAAGGCAGUUCACAAAUAUGCUGAAUUGAAGGAAUUAGGAUCACACCCUGAAAUAGCAGGAAAACGAAUGUUUGCUUUCUCUGGCUUAUUAUUUGCUUAGUGAUACUUCAGCAUUUCUAAAAGAUAAAUGCCUUGGCUGUUGUUCUAUCAGUCGCUCUGCUUUAUUUAAUUUUACAAAGAGGAAUGCUCAGAUGUUAAAAUAUUUGCUCUCUUUUCACUUACGAUUUGUUUCAUUUUCUACUCAAAAUGGAAUGACCCUCCAAGGAACCUGGGUAUUGUCUUGGAAGGUUUAUUCCACUCUUCAAAACUCCCGGAAAAACUGACACACAUCAGCCUGCUGAUCUCACAAGUAUAUUCUCUGUGGCAGGAACUUGAGGAAGCCAUCAUUUCCAUCUUAAGUAGAAACUGAAGCUUUUUUUUUUUUUUUUUCCUUUUAAUUACUGGUUGUUUCAGACCUUAGAAAAACAGGAAGUGAAAGGAAUCAAGAACUCUUUCCAAACAGAAUUCCUUUCAAUGCUCCAGGACUAUGUUUAAGUGACGAAACCUAGGGAUGAAGGUAUCUAUCCCAAAUCACAACUGUGCCUCUGAGAUUGAAGCAGACCGUUGGCAGCCCCGGGAGAUCCACGCUGCCAUCAUGAUAUUACCUUAUUAGAGACUUCAACCUAAGAAAUUUAUAAACAUAAAAUGCUUUUUAAAAUACUUGCUCUUUUAUUUGCCACUUGCAGAAACCACAGUAAGCACUUCAUAAGGGUGAAGAAAGUGCAUACUGUUCUUCACUCGUGGGGAUGCUCUGAUAACCCCUAGAAAGUGUGGAGUAAGCUGAGAAGGGAACGAGGACUGGAAUCCCGCCAGCCCCUGGCACUGCUUCUUGAUGGCUGUACCAGAUGUCUGAAUCAAGCUCAGCAGAAGGGCCAGGUGUUCUUUUAAAUUUGAAAUUACAAGCAGAAACAUAAUACUGUUUCUCGUCUUCUUUGAAAAGGGAAGGGAAUUAAGAAGGAAGGCAUUUAGAGGAUAAAAAAGUGGUGGCCAUUGACCUGACUCGGAUUGAGACUUCUCAGCCAGAUCUCUGCUAGAAAACCAUUUCCUUUUCCUAC